GAUGAAGAACGUAGCGAAAUGCGAUAAGUAAUGCGAAUUGCAGAAUUUCCGUGAGUCACCGAAUCUUUGAACGCACAUUGCGCCCCUUGGUAUUCCGGGGGGCAUGCCUCUUCCAGCGUCAUUUCACCCCUCAAGCUCUGCUUGGUUUUGGGCCGCGCCGGCAACGGCGGGCCUCGAAAAUAGUGGCGACGCCAUCGUGCUCUCAGCGUAGUAAUUCUUCUCGCUGUUGGGUCCCGGUGGUCGUCCGCCAGCAACCCCCAACUUUCUUAAGUUUGACCUGGGAUGAGGUAGGGAUACCCGCUGAACUUAAGCAUAUCAAUAAGCGGAGGA
rnacentral:misc_RNA from 1 species